GUUAUACAUAUGUUUUUAGGGCACAGAAUAACGUCUGUGAUGAUACCAGUUACUUUUAACAGUCACAUAA